AUUGAACGCUGGCGGCAUGCUUUACACAUGCAAGUCGAACGGCCGCGCGGGCUUCGGCCUGGCGGCGCGUGGCGUACGGGUGAGUAAUACACCGGAACGUGCCCAGUAUAGGGGGAUAGCUUGGCGAAAGCCGGCUUAAUACCGCACACGACCUGAGGUUGAAAGCGGGGGAUCUUUGGACCACGCGGUAUUUGAGCGGCCGUAGGCAGAUUAGCUAGUUGGUUGGGUAAGGGCCUACCAAGGCGACGAUCUGUAGCAGGCCUGAGAGGACGACCAGCCACACUGGAACUGAGACACGGCCCAGACUCCUACGGGAGGCAGCAGUGGGGAAUUUUGGGCAAUGGGCGAAAGCCUGACGCAGCAAUGCCGCGUGUGUGAUGAAGGUCUUCGGGUUGUAAAGCACUGUUGGCGGGGAAGAAAAGAACUGUACGAAUCCAACGAUGCGAUGACGGUACCCGAAGAGUAAGCACCGGCUAACUACGUG
rnacentral:rRNA from 1 species